rnacentral:rRNA from 1 species
UACAGAGGAUGCAAGCGUUAUCCGGAAUGAUUGGGCGUAAAGCGUCUGUAGGUGGCUUUUUAAGUCCGCCGUCAAAUCCCAGGGCUCAACUCUGGACAGGCGGUGGAAACUACCAAGCUGGAGUAUGGUAGGGGCAGAGGGAAUUUCCGGUGGAGCGGUGAAAUGCGUAGAGAUCGGAAAGAACACCAAGCGAAGACGCACUCUGCUGGGCCGACACUGACACUGAGAGACGAAAGCUAGGGGAGCGAAUGGG